rnacentral:rRNA from 1 species
AACGUAGGAGACAAACGUUAUCCGGAGUUACUGGGCGUAAAGGGCGUGUAGGUGGUAUCGUAAGUCUGGCGUGAAAUUUCUCGGCUUAACCGAGGCAGGUCGUCGGAUACUGCGAGGCUAGAGGACGGUAGAGGCGUGUGGAAUUCCGGGUGUAGUGGUGAAAUGCGUAGAGAUCCGGAGGAACACCUAUGGCGAAGGCAGCUCGCUGGGACGUUACUGACGCUGAGACGCGAAAGCGUGGGGAGCAAACAGG